rnacentral:lncRNA from 1 species
AAAUAUGCAAUAUUUGAACACAUAAAUAUUUAAUAUAAAAAUAAAUAAUAAAUAAAUAUACAAUUAAGAAAUGGAAAUAAAUAAAUUAACUAUCUAUCUGAAAAAUCUAAAGUAGAAUAAAUAAUAAGUAAAUAUAUAAUAUAAGAAAUAAAAAUAUUAUAUUAUACAUCUAUUGUAAUAUUAGACUAAGUAUAUAUACAAUACAAAAAAAAAACAAUAAGUAAAUAUAUAGUAUAAUAAAUAUAAAUAUUACAUUAAACAUCUAAUUUAAUAUUAUCAUUUGAUAUAAAAGCAAAAAAUUGGAAUAAUUAAAUAUAAAAUAUAUAAAAAUAAACAAUAAGUAAAUAUAAAAUAUCAAAAAUAGAAAAACUAAAUUAAACAUCUAUGUGAAAAAUGUAUAAUAAAAUAAAUAAUAAGUAAAAAUACACAUAAAAAGCAAAAAAAACAUAUUACAUUAAACAUCUAUUAUAAUAUUAGAAUAAGUAAAUAUAAAGUAUAAGAAAAAUAAAUAACAAGUAAAUAUAUAAUAUAAGAACUAGAAAACUACAUUAAACAUCUAUCUGAAAAAUAUAUAAUAAAAUAAAUAAUAAGUAAAUAUAUUGUAUAAGAAACAGAAAUAUUAUAUUAAACAUCUAUCGUAAUAUUAGAAUUCGAUAUAAAAUCAAAACAAUUAUAAUAAGUAAAUAUAAAAUAUAAGAACAAAUAAAUAAUAAGUAAAUAUACAACCUUUGCAAAGUUUACUGUAGAGCAGAUCUGUCCAAAUUUUUUCUGAUCCCUCAUAUGGUCUUCUUGAAACAGCUUUUAUUUCUUAUACCAGUCUCCAGUAAGCAAAAAUAAUUUCUAAAAUAUUAAGGGUAAAUCUUAAAAAGUUGUAACAGUUUUCUAAAAACCAAAAUAUAUAAUAUUUCAAAGGGUAAAUCUUAAAAAAAUCUAAUUAUUUUUGUUCUUAUUUAUUUCUCUUAUAUACUAAAGUACAAGUCACUUGACCGACCAAAUUUGACAUGUGUAAUUUCCUUACAAAGCCUUAAAAAAAAGUAAUAUGUUUUCACAAAGUUCAAAUUUAACAUACUACCAAAAAAAAAUCAAAACUAUCUCAAGUUCCUUUAAUUUUAUGUAAUAGAAGAUGUUAUCUGUCAAGCGAAGGUAACAGCGGACGAUGUGCUUUAGAAGCCUAGGAGAAGGUGCUUCUGCAAGUGAAGUCACCAUAUUCCCCAAAACUCGACUCAGAGCAAAGAAUCUAUCCACACAGACGCACAUGUAACGAAGCCCUUCGUUGUCCAGCAAAAUUUUCUGGAUAAUGAAGGUUGCAACCUGACAUUAAAAAAAAAAAAAAACAAAUCAAUCUAAUGGGCUGUUGCAUUGCCGAAAUCAAUCAUAAGAAGCAUCUGAAAGUAGAGAAAACUCACAGUUUUUGAUAACUCGCUGCCACUUUCCAUUGUCUGGAGGCACAAUGGGAUGAUUUCAGUUUCAAGAAGGAACUUGAUCACUUCCGUAUCCUCAACCUACCAAAACAAAUGAACAAUGUUGCUAACACCAAUAUAAAAAUAACAAUGAUUCUGUGAUGUCUUAACAGUUUUCACUCAAAGGUUUUAGCAUGUUAAAAUGGUUGAUUAAUUCUCAGAUUAUAUACUUGCCAGGGGAAAAUGGUUUUAAUAGCUAGACAUACCUUGACAAGUGCACCAAAUAUUAUAAGAAUGAUGAAACUUGAUCCUCAUGAACAAAAAACAUUUGUUAGCAUCAUCGAUACUCAAAGAAGGUGCUGCAUGGAUCGAUGAUAAUAUCAGAGGUGGAUAUGGAGUGAUACAAAAGCUGAUUAGGGAAAUCAAAUUACAUGAAACCUAUCUUUCUAUGAUAAGGAAGAAGAUUUCAGAAGAAAAAAAAUUAGUUCUACUUUUACAUCAGUAUAUAUAUAUAAUGAAAUUUAACAAUCUUCAUUUAUCCAAGAAUAAUUACUCAAUGUUUAAUCAUAUCAAAUGUUGAAAUUUAAAACACACCAUGAGCAUAAUGUAAUUGUUGCGAGUUAAUCACUUAAUUGUGCAUGCAUUAUAGUGAUCAUAAAAGAAGAGACACUUUGAAAAUGUGUAUUGAAAUUUAAAAAAAAAUCAUUGAACAACCAAUUCAGUAGUUAAUAAUUUCUUCUAUUAUAUAUUUUCUAAUGAUAAUAUAGUUAUGUGAGUUGGAAAUACAUUUAUGUAUACAAGAUUGACAAAUAAAAAUUUAUACUAAUGAAAUAGACAUUUUGAGGUUCCAUGGGAUGUCCACAUAAUCAAAGUAAAAUCUCCCAAAAAAUACCACGUGGCAUUAUUGCUAAAAAAUAAAAAGUAAAUAUACAAUACAAAGAAAUAUAAAUAAUAAGUAAUAUAUAAUAUAAAAAUAGAAAUAUUACAUUGAACAUUUAUUAUAAUAUUAGAAGAAGUAAAUAUAAAAUAUAAGAAAAAUAAAUAAGAAGUAAAUAUAUAAUAUAAGAAAUAGAAAACUACAUUAAAAAUCUAUCUGAAAAAUAUAUAAUAAAAAAAUAAUAAGUAAAUAUAUUGUAUAAGAAAUAGAGAUAUUACAUUAAACAUCUAUCGUAAUAUUAGAAUUUGAUAUAAAAGCAAAACAAUUAGAAUAGGUAAAUAUACAAUAUGAUAAAAAAAAUGUAAAUAUGCAAUAUUUGAACACAUAAAUAUUUAAUAUAAAAAUAAAUAAUAAAUAAAUAUACAAUUAAGAAAUGGAAAUAAAUAAAUUAACUAUCUAUCUGAAAAAUCUAAAGUAGAAUAAAUAAUAAGUAAAUAUAUAAUAUAAGAAAUAAAAAUAUUAUAUUAUACAUCUAUUGUAAUAUUAGACUAAGUAUAUAUACAAUACAAAAAAAAAACAAUAAGUAAAUAUAUAGUAUAAUAAAUAUAAAUAUUACAUUAAACAUCUAAUUUAAUAUUAUCAUUUGAUAUAAAAGCAAAAAAUUGGAAUAAUUAAAUAUAAAUAUAUAAAAAUAAACAAUAAGUAAAUAUAAAAUAUCAAAAAUAGAAAAACUAAAUUAAACAUCUAUGUGAAAAAUGUAUAAUAAAAUAAAUAAUAAGUAAAAAUACACAUAAAAGCAAAAAAACAUAUUACAUUAAACAUCUAUUAUAAUAUUAGAAUAAGUAAAUAUAAAGUAUAAGAAAAAUAAAUAACAAGUAAAUAUAUAAUAUAAGAACUAGAAAACUACAUUAAACAUCUAUCUGAAAAAUAUAUAAUAAAAUAAAUAAUAAGUAAAUAUAUUGUAUAAGAAACAGAAAUAUUAUAUUAAACAUCUAUCGUAAUAUUAGAAUUCGAUAUAAAAUCAAAACAAUUAUAAUAAGUAAAUAUAAAAUAUAAGAACAAAUAAAUAAUAAGUAAAUAUACAACCUUUGCAAAGUUUACUGUAGAGCAGAUCUGUCCAAAUUUUUUCUGAUCCCUCAUAUGGUCUUCUUGAAUCAGCUUUUAUUUCUUAUACCAGUCUCCAGUAAGCAAAAAUAAUUUCUAAAAUAUUAAGGGUAAAUCUUAAAAAGUUGUAACAGUUUUCUAAAAACCAAAAUAUAUAAUAUUUCAAAGGGUAAAUCUUAAAAAAUCUAAUUAUUUUUGUUCUUAUUUAUUUCUCUUAUAUACUAAAGUACAAGUCACUUGACCGACCAAAUUUGACAUGUGUAAUUUCCUUACAAAGCCCUAAAAAAAGUAAUCUGUUUUCACAAAGUUCAAAUUUAACAUACUACCAAAAAAAAUCAAAACUAUCUCAAGUUCCUUUAAUUUUAUGUAAUAGAAGAUGUUAUCUGUCAAGCGAAGGUAACAGCGGACGAUGUGCUUUAGAAGCCUAGGAGAAGGUGCUUCUGCAAGUGAAGUCACCAUAUUCCCCAAAACUCGACUCAGAGCAAAGAAUCUAUCCACACAGACGCACAUGUAACGAAGCCCUUCGUUGUCCAGCAAAAUUUUCUGGAUAAUGAAGGUUGCAACCUGACAUUAAAAAAAAAACAAAAACAAAUCAAUCUAAUGGGCUGUUGCAUUGCCGAAAUCAAUCAUAAGAAGCAUCUGAAAGUAGAGAAAACUCACAGUUUUUGAUAACUCGCUGCCACUUUCCAUUGUCUGGAGGCACAAUGGGAUGAUUUCAGUUUCAAGAAGGAACUUGAUCACUUCCGUAUCCUC